UGAGUAAGUGGCGCACGGGUGAGUACACGUGACUAACCUACCCAGGAGUGGGGGAUAACUGAGGGAAACCUUAGCUAGAUACGCAUAACACCUACGGGUCAAAGGAGCAAUUCGCUUCUGGAGGGGGUCGCGGCCGAUUAGUUAGUUGGCAGGAUAAUGGCCUACCAAGACGAUGAUCGGUAUCCGGCCUGAGAGGGCGCACGGACACACUGGAACUGA
rnacentral:rRNA from 1 species